AUACGGAGGGUGCAAGCGUUAAUCGGAAUUACUGGGCGUAAAGCGCACGCAGGCGGUCUGUCAAGUCGGAUGUGAAAUCCCCGGGCUCAACCUGGGAACUGCAUUCGAAACUGGCAGGCUAGAGUCUUGUAGAGGGGGGUAGAAUUCCAGGUGUAGCGGUGAAAUGCGUAGAGAUCUGGAGGAAUACCGGUGGCGAAGGCGGCCCCCUGGACAAAGACUGACGCUCAGGUGCGAAAGCGUGGGGAGCAAACAGGAUUAGAUACCCUGGUAGUCCACGCUGUAAACGAUGUCGACUUGGAGGUUGUGCCCUUGAGGCGUGGCUUCCGGAGCUAACGCGUUAAGUUCGCCGCCUGGGGAGUACGGUCGCAAGACUGAA
rnacentral:rRNA from 1 species